GGCCCAUUGGUGAAACGGUUAACACAUAUGGUUUUCAUCCAUACACGAGCGGGUUCGACUCCCGCAUGGGUCA